AAAGAAGGCUUUAUAUUGAAAAAAUAUGAUUAUAAUCACGUGCUAAUAAAUCAAGGAUUUGUUUGGAUGUGUGAAGUCGAAUAUAGAUGGAAGUGUUUUUCAUAGUUAAGCUUUUGCUCUAGCUACGGGUUUCUUGGGUGUUUUCGAUGGUCAUUGGUGAAAGUGUUGCUAGAGAUCUGAGCUUGCUUGGAAUCUUCAUUAUCAUAUGGUUAGUGUAGAGAACGAUGAUCAAGCAGAGUUUGUGUGACUUACUGUUAAGGGUAAUUUUUACUCAGUCGUCCUCUAAUUUUGGGCAUUGUGUCAU
rnacentral:misc_RNA from 1 species